UGUCACACAAGGUCUAGAUAGGCUAACCUUGUCACACUAGGUCAAGAUAGGCUCAACCUUGUCCCACUAGGUCUAGAUAGGCUCAACCUGGGCUAGUGAACUUUCUGCUUUCUUCCUGAAUGUGUUAUCAAAGCUUGGACCCUACUUUCAUUGUUGCUCCCUCUACUUGCAAGGUUUUCCCUAUGCCCAUGUGUUGUUGAUAGGAAUGUAAAGCUGUAUGUUUACCUUGAGUGUAUAGGGUUUUAUAUUAGAUAGGAAUGUAAAGCUGUAUGUUUACAUUGAGUGUAUAGGGUUUUAUAUUAGAUUUUGUUUUUAUUAUUGUCUUGUUUCACCAAAGUUUGACUUUACUCCAAUGUUAUACAAUUAACAGAUUUGAACUGUUUCUUUGAUAAGGGCAGCACUACCAAUGUUCAUGUCAGCUAUAAACAUUUUAUUUUAUGAAAAUUUUUUUUUCAUCCAAACUUUUUCCCCCUCACUUCCCAGAGUCUAGAUAUUUUUUUUCCCCACUGAGUAUGGAAGGAUAAGAAGUCUCACUGGCUCAUUCUCUCCCCUAUUUAGCAGUAACAGUUGUUUUUUUCUGCCCUGUACACUGAGUAUGAAGGCAAGGUGGAACAUUCUAUCCCAAGAUUAGUUUGUAUAAACUACUUUCUUUCCUAAUCUGUUGUUGGAGCUGUGCUUCAAUAUAGUUUGAUAUUUGGUUGUGUUUUUAAUGAAAUAAUUGUAUGAAUUACAAUUGUUGUUAUUAACUCUGGUCUGUGUCAUAAUAAAUAAUCAAGUCAUA
rnacentral:sRNA from 1 species